GACGUAGGGUCCAAGCGUUGUCCGGAUUUACUGGGCGUAAAGAGCGCGUAGGCGGCUCGUUAAGUGUGAAGUGAAAUCUCCAGGGCUCAACCCGGAAACUGCUUCGCAUACUGGCGAGCUGGAGUGACGAAGAGGUUUGUGGAAUUCCUGGUGUAGCGGUGAAAUGCGCAGAUAUCGGGAAGAACACCCGUGGCGAAGGCGGCUCUCUGGGACGGUACUGACGCUGAGACGCGAAAGCGUGGGGAGCGAACAGG
rnacentral:rRNA from 1 species